rnacentral:rRNA from 1 species
CCUACGGGUGGCAGCAGUGAGGAAUAUUGGUCAAUGGACGAGAGUCUGAACCAGCCAAGUAGCGUGAAGGAUGACUGCCCUAUGGGUUGUAAACUUCUUUUAUCUGGGAAUAAAAUGUUCCACGUGUGGGAUUUUGUAUGUACCAUAUGAAUAAGGAUCGGCUAACUCCGUGCCAGCAGCCGCGGUAAUACGGAGGAUCCGAGCGUUAUCCGGAUUUAUUGGGUUUAAAGGGAGCGUAGGUGGAUUGUUAAGUCAGUUGUGAAAGUUUGCGGCUCAACCGUAAAAUUGCAGUUGAAACUGGCAGUCUUGAGUACAGUAGAGGUGGGCGGAAUUCGUGGUGUAGCGGUGAAAUGCUUAGAUAUCACGAAGAACUACGAUUGCGAAGGCAGUUCACUGGACUGCAACUGACACUGAGGCUCGAAAGUGUGGGUAUCAAACAGGAUUAGAUACCCCAGUAGUC